rnacentral:misc_RNA from 1 species
CUGAAAAGGCGAUCGUUCGUUCCUACGUUCGUUCUCACCCCUUUGUGAACCGUAACAGUCCCUGGCGGCGGGGUGCGAGUGGACUCGGGUGCCGAGAGGUGCCCUCUCGGCGCGUGGCGUCCCCGGACCUGUCAGCUUGUUGGGUCAUCCACUCUGGAGGGUGGCCUGCUUGCCGUGGACAAACCGCCAAAUGUGCCCUCAACUUGCCAUUUCAACUUUGCCGUCUCAACAUACACUGGGUAUAGCAAUACCUUGA